rnacentral:tRNA from 1 species
GGAGAGGUGGCAGAGUGGUUGAAUGCACCGCACUCGAAAUGCGGCAUGGGUGCAAGCCCAUCGGGAGUUCGAAUCUCCCCCUCUCCGCCA